rnacentral:lncRNA from 1 species
UCCAGAAGGGUCUGGGGAUGUCCCAGGACUGUCUUGGAGUGUCCAGGGAGUGUUCAUGUGGGUCUGGGGGGGUCUGAAGAUGUCCCAGGAGUGUCUUGGGGUGUCCAGGGGGUGCUCGUGUGGGUCUGGGGGGUCCUGGAGCCAUCCAGAAGGGUCUGGGGAUGGCCCAGAGAGGACUUGGAGGGUCUGGGGGGUCCUUUGGUGGGUUCAGAGGGUCCUGUUGUCUUCUGGAAGGGUCUGAAGAUGUCCCAGAAGUGUCUUGGGGUGUCCAGGGGGUGCUGUCACUGAGCCUCCCACUGUCCUAUGAGGGGACAAAAGGACCCCCCUGGGGGCAUUGCGCCAAAGUUGGGGACACUGUGAGCAGCUUGAGGACUUCCCAGGGGAAGUGGGGACACCGCGUCACUGUGUCACACCUCAAAGUUGGGGACACCCCCACCGUGUCACACCUC